rnacentral:rRNA from 1 species
GAUGAACGCUGGCGGCGUGCCUAAUACAUGCAAGUCGAGCGAACAGACGAGGAGCUUGCUCCUCUGACGUUAGCGGCGGACGGGUGAGUAACACGUAGAUAACCUACCUAUAAGACUGGGAUAACUUCGGGAAACCGGAGCUAAUACCGGAUAAUAUAUUGAACCGCAUGGUUCAAUAGUGAAAGACGGUUUUGCUGUUACUUAUAGAUGGAUCCGCGCCGCAUUAGCUAGUUGGUAAGGUAACGGCUUACCAAGGCAACGAUGCGUAGCCGACCUGAGAGGGUGAUCGGCCACACUGGAACUGAGACACGGUCCAGACUCCUACGGGAGGCAGCAGUAGGGAAUCUUCCGCAAUGGGCGAAAGCCUGACGGAGCAACGCCGCGUGAGUGAUGAAGGUCUUCGGAUCGUAAAACUCUGUUAUUAGGGAAGAACAAAUGUGUAAGUAACUAUGCACGUCUUGACGGUACCUAAUCAGAAAGCCACGGCUAACUACGUG